ACGGGUGCGUAACACGUGGGCAAUCUGCCUUAAAGUGGGGGAUAGCUCGGCGAAAGCCGAAUUAAUACCGCAUGUGAUCAGGGGAGACAUCUUCCCGAAAUCAAAAGUGGCGCAAGCUACUGCUUUUUGAGGAGCCCGCGGCCUAUCAGCUAGUUGGCGAGGUAACGGCUCACCAAGGCUUUGACGGGUAGCUGGUCUGAGAGGGCGACCAGUCACACUGGAACUGAGACACGGUCCAGACACCUACGGGUGGCAGCAGUCGAGAAUUUUUCUCAAUGGGGGAAACCCUGAAGGAGCGACGCCGCGUGGAGGAUGAAGGUCUUCGGGUUGUAAACUCCUGUCAUUUGGGAACAAGUGCCGGUACGUAACUGCUACCGGCUUGAUAGUACCAGAAGAGGAAGAGACGGCUAACUCUGUGCCAGCAGCCGCGGUAAUACAGAGGUCUCAAGCGUUGUUCGGAUUCAUUGGGCGUAAAGGGUGUGUAGGUGGCGCCGUAAGUCGGGUGUGAAAUUUCGGAGCUUAACUCCGAAACUGCAUUCGAUACUGCGGUGCUUGAGGACUGGAGAGGAGACUGGAA
rnacentral:rRNA from 1 species